GCCUAGGAUAGCAGAGUCGGUAGGGCGUGAGACUGUUAAUCUCAGGGCUGUGGCUUCAAGGCUUGCAUUGGGCA